UCUCCGGAGAGUUCAUGAGAUAUAAACAGCUGGAGACCAUUUAUCUGUGUAUGUGACGUUCGAGAGACAUCAAGAUGAUUCUGGUGACCUACCUGCUCUGUGGCUUCUUUCUUUAUAUCCAAGACACAUGUUGUGAAGUUGUAUUGACUCAGAAACCACAAUACAUUGUGAAAUCACCAGGAGACUCUCUCACCAUUUCAUGUACGUCCAGUCGAGAUCUUUACCAUUCUGGAGUAAAGGUGACCCCUUUAAUGUGGUUCCAACAGAGACCAGGACAGACACCAAAACCUCUUAUUAUUAAAGCAACUGAACGAUAUUCUGGGGUCCCAGAGAGAUUCAGUGGCUCGGGAUCUGGAACAAAUUAUGAUCUUACUAUUAAGGAAAUGAAAGAAGAAGAUGAAGGAACUUUUUUCUUUAUGCAACAUACAGCUGAACCGCACACACUGUGGUACACAGCUGUACAAUAACUUCAUUCCUUUCUUUAAUUACUGAAAGGGCUUUUUGAAGCUGUACUCCAACAAUGGUUUAUAUUGCAGUUACAUUUGGCCAGCUUGGCACAAUGUAAACAUGGAAACUUGGAAAAAGCAGCCGCACACCGCAACGGGAUACCAAGAAAUACUUAUUUAUUGUAAUGCAGACAGAUGUAGUCACAGGAAUGAACGUAAUGAACGUUUCACACAUCUUGUGCUUAGUCAUAACCAACAAUGUAAGCAUGCACAUGUUAUACCUGAU